rnacentral:rRNA from 1 species
GACGAACGCUGGCGGCGUGCUUAACACAUGCAAGUCGAACGAUGAAGCCCAGCUUGCUGGGUGGAUUAGUGGCGAACGGGUGAGUAACACGUGAGUAACCUGCCCUUGAUUCUGGGAUAAGCCUGGGAAACUGGGUCUAAUACUGGAUAUGACUUCUCAUCGCAUGGUGGGGGGUGGAAAGAUUUAUUGGUCUUGGAUGGACUCGCGGCCUAUCAGCUUGUUGGUGGGGUAAUGGCUCACCAAGGCGACGACGGGUAGCCGGCCUGAGAGGGUGACCGGCCACACUGGGACUGAGACACGGCCCAGACUCCUACGGGAGGCAGCAGUGGGGAAUAUUGCACAAUGGGCGCAAGCCUGAUGCAGCGACGCCGCGUGAGGGAUGACGGCCUUCGGGUUGUAAACCUCUUUCAGUAGGGAAGAAGCGAGAGUGACGGUACCUGCAGAAGAAGCGCCGGCUAACUACGUG